rnacentral:rRNA from 1 species
AAUCCAUAGGUUAAUGAGGCGAACCGGGGGAACUGAAACAUCUAAGUACCCCGAGGAAAAGAAAUCAACCGAGAUUCCCCCAGUAGCGGCGAGCGAACGGGGAGGAGCCCAGAGCCUGAAUCAGCAUGUGUGUUAGUGGAAGCGUCUGGAAAGGCGCGCGAUACAGGGUGACAGCCCCGUACACAAAAGCGCAUGUGCUGUGAGCUCGAUGAGUAGGGCGGGACACGUGGUAUCCUGUCUGAAUAUGGGGGGACCAUCCUCCAAGGCUAAAUACUCCUGACUGACCGAUAGUGAACCAGUACCGUGAGGGAAAGGCGAAAAGAACCCCGGCGAGGGGAGUGAAAAAGAACCUGAAACCGUGUACGUACAAGCAGUGGGAGCACCCUUCGGGGUGUGACUGCGUACCUUUUGUAUAAUGGGUCAGCGACUUAUAUUCUGUAGCAAGGUUAACCGUAUAGGGGAGCCGGAGGGAAACCGAGUCUUAAUUGGGCGUUAAGUUGCAGGGUAUAGACCCGAAACCCGGUGAUCUAGCCAUGGGCAGGUUGAAGGUUGGGUAACACUAACUGGAGGACCGAACCGACUAAUGUUGAAAAAUUAGCGGAUGACCUGUGGCUGGGGGUGAAAGGCCAAUCAAACCGGGAGAUAGCUGGUUCUCCCCGAAAGCUAUUUAGGUAGCGCCUCGUGAAUUCAUCUCCGGGGGUAGAGCACUGUUUCGGCUAGGGGGCCAUCCCGGCUUACCAACCCGAUGCAAACUGCGAAUACCGGAGAAUGUUAUCACGGGAGACACACGGCGGGUGCUAACGUCCGUCGUGAAGAGGGAAACAACCCAGACCGCCAGCUAAGGUCCCAAAGUCAUGGUUAAGUGGGAAACGAUGUGGGAAGGCCCAGACAGCCAGGAUGUUGGCUUAGAAGCAGCCAUCAUUUAAAGAAAGCGUAAUAGCUCACUGGUCGAGUCGGCCUGCGCGGAAGAUGUAACGGGGCUAAACCAUGCACCGAAGCUGCGGCAGCGAACGUAUCACCCAAGACAACUUUACGGAGUUGACGAUUGACGGAGCGAAGCGACGUCAAAGCGUUCAUUAAAGUCGAGUUGGCUUAGGGAUACGUUCGUUGGGUAGGGGAGCGUUCUGUAAGCCUGUGAAGGUGUGUCGUGAGGCAUGCUGGAGGUAUCAGAAGUGCGAAUGCUGACAUAAGUAACGAUAAAGCGGGUGAAAAGCCCGCUCGCCGGAAGACCAAGGGUUCCUGUCCAACGUUAAUCGGGGCAGGGUGAGUCGACCCCUAAGGCGAGGCCGAAAGGCGUAGUCGAUGGGAAACGGGUUAAUAUUCCCGUACUUGGUGUUACUGCGAAGGGGGGACGGAGAAGGCUAUGUUGGCCGGGCGACGGUUGUCCCGGUUUAAGCGUGUAGGUGUGUGUUCCAGGUAAAUCCGGUUCACUUUAACACUGAGGCGUGACGACGAGGCACUACGGUGCUGAAGCAACAAAUGCCCUGCUUCCAGGAAAAGCCUCUAAGCAUCAGGUAACACGAAAUCGUACCCCAAACCGACACAGGUGGUCAGGUAGAGAAUACCAAGGCGCUUGAGAGAACUCGGGUGAAGGAACUAGGCAAAAUGGUGCCGUAACUUCGGGAGAAGGCACGCUGACACGUAGGUGAAGUGAUUUACUCAUGGAGCUGAAGUCAGUCGAAGAUACCAGCUGGCUGCAACUGUUUAUUAAAAACACAGCACUGUGCAAACACGAAAGUGGACGUAUACGGUGUGACGCCUGCCCGGUGCCGGAA